AUUGAACGCUGGCGGCAUGCUUUACACAUGCAAGUCGGACGGCAGCACAGAGAAGCUUGCUUCUUGGGUGGCGAGUGGCGAACGGGUGAGUAAUAUAUCGGAACGUACCGAGUAAUGGGGGAUAACUAAUCGAAAGAUUAGCUAAUACCGCAUAUUCUCUGAGGAGGAAAGCAGGGGACCUUCGGGCCUUGCGUUAUUCGAGCGGCCGAUAUCUGAUUAGCUAGUUGGUGGGGUAAAGGCCUACCAAGGCGACGAUCAGUAGCGGGUCUGAGAGGAUGAUCCGCCACACUGGGACUGAGACACGGCCCAGACUCCUCCGGGAGGCAGCAGUGGGGAAUUUUGGACAAUGGGCGCAAGCCUGAUCCAGCCAUGCCGCGUGUCUGAAGAAGGCCUUCGGGUUGUAAAGGACUUUUGUCAGGGAAGAAAAGGCUGUUGCUAAUAUCAAUAGCUGAUGACGGUACCUGAAGAAUAAGCACCGGCUAACUACGU
rnacentral:rRNA from 1 species